UAAACGACUCUCGGCAACGGAUAUCUCGGCUCACGCAUCGAUGAAGAACGUAGCAAAAUGCGAUACUUGGUGUGAAUUGCAGAAUCCCGUGAACCAUCGAGUUUUUGAACGCAAGUUGCGCCCAAAGCCAUUUGGCCGAGGGCACGUCUGCCUGGGUGUCACGC
rnacentral:rRNA from 1 species